rnacentral:tRNA from 1 species
GGAGGAGUGGCCGAGUGGCUGAAGGCACCGGUCUUGAAAACCGGCGACGGGAAACUGUUCCAGAGUUCGAAUCUCUGCUCCUCCGCCA